AAUUAUUUAGAUUACUGUGAAGAAAAUUAAUUUAUAACUUUUUUUUUACCUUUUGCAUAAUGGUUUAAUAAAUAUUAAAUAAUUUUAUUGUUCCCGAAUUUAGAAGAUCUAAAUUUUACAUUUUAUUAGAAAAUUAAUUUAAUAAUGUUUCAAAAUUAUAAUUUUUAGUAAAAUUUAGGAGUGAAAGGCUUAUCAAUUCUAAAGAUAUUUGGAAUAAUUUUAAAUGUAUUUAGUACAGAAUAAAAGUUUGAAUAAAAAAAUGUUAAGAUUUUUUUAAAAAAGAAUUAUAAAUUUAACUAUAUUUAAGAAUUAAUCUUCAAUUAAAAAUAAACUAUUAAAAUUUUUUAUUAAAAUAUCUUUCAAAUAAAAUUAUAUUUAAAAUUACUAUUUUAGAAAUUAAUUAUGUUAAAAUUAGUAUAAAAUAUUAUGUUAAUUUAAGGAACUCGGCUAACUAUUAUUCAUCUGUUUAUCAAAAACAUAGUCUUAUGAAUAAAUAUAAGGUGUAACCUGCCCACUGGUAUUUUAAAUGGCCGCAGUACUUUGACUGUGCUAAGGUAGCAUAAUAAAUUGACUUUUAAUUGGGGCCUUGAAUGAAAGGAUUAAUGGAUAAUUUCUGUCUUUAAUAAAUAAAUUUAAAUUUACUUAGAAGGUGAAAAUUCCUUUAAUUUAAUAUAAUAGACGAGAAGACCCUAGGAGUUAUAAUUUUGUUGGGGCGACAAUAUAGCAUAUAACCUAUAUACUUUUUAUUAAAUAUAACGAAAAAUUUUAAUAAUAAUUUAACUACCCUAGGGAUAACAGCAUAAUUUUAAUUAAAGUUUGUGACCUCGAUGUUGGACUAGGAACUUUUAAAGCUAACAGCGUUAAUUGGUAGUUCUGUUCGAACUUU
rnacentral:rRNA from 1 species